rnacentral:rRNA from 1 species
UACAGAGGUCCCAAGCGUUGUUCGGAUUUACUGGGCGUAAAGGGCGCGUAGGCGGCCACCGCAAGUCGACUGUGAAAUCUCUGGGCUUAACCCAGAAAGGUCAACCGAUACUGCGGGGCUAGAGUGCAGAAGGGGCAACUGGAAUUCUCGGUGUAGCGGUGAAAUGCGUAGAUAUCGAGAGGAACACCUGCGGCGAAGGCGGGUUGCUGGGCUGACACUGACGCUGAAGCGCGAAAGCUAGGGGAGCGAACGGG